GACGAACGCUGGCGGCGUGCUUAACACAUGCAAGUCGAACGGGUCUGCCCUGUUUUUUGCGGGGUGGGUCAGUGGCGAACGGGUGAGUAACACGUGAGUAACCUGCCCCUCACUUCUGGAUAACCGCUUGAAAGGGUGGCUAAUACGGGGUGUUCUGGCUGUGCCGCAUGGUGUGGCUGGGAAAGAUUCACUUUUGUGGUGUUUUGGUGGGGGAUGGGCUCGCGGCCUAUCAGCUUGUUGGUGGGGUGAUGGCCUGCCAAGGCUUUGACGGGUAGCCGGCCUGAGAGGGUGGGCGGUCACACUGGGACUGAGAUACGGCCCAGACUCCUGCGGGAGGCAGCAGUGGGGGGUAUUGCACAAUGGGCGGAAGCCUGAUGCAGCGACGUCGCGUGAGGGAUGGAGGCCUUCGGGUUGUGAACCUCUUUCGCCGGUGAAGAAGGUCCUGCUCUUUGGGGUGGGGUUGACGGUAGCCGGGUUAUGAAGCGCCGGCUAACUACGUG
rnacentral:rRNA from 1 species